rnacentral:rRNA from 1 species
CAGUCGAGCGGAUGACGAGGAGCUUGCCCCUCUGAUUCAGCGGCGGACGGGUGAGUAACACGUGGGCAACCUGCCUGUAAGACUGGGAUAACUCCGGGAAACCGGGGCUAAUACCGGAUAGGUGAUGUCUUCGCAUGAAGAGAUCAGGAAAGAUGGCUUCGGCUAUCACUUACAGAUGGGCCCGCGGCGCAUUAGCUAGUUGGUGAGGUAACGGCUCACCAAGGCGACGAUGCGUAGCCGACCUGAGAGGGUGAUCGGCCACACUGGGACUGAGACACGGCCCAGACUCCUACGGGAGGCAGCAGUAGGGAAUCUUCCGCAAUGGACGAAAGUCUGACGGAGCAACGCCGCGUGAGCGAAGAAGGUCUUCGGAUCGUAAAGCUCUGUUGUUAGGGAAGAACAAGUACCGUUCGAAUAGGGCGGUACCGUGACGGUACCUAACCAGAAAGCCACGGCUAACUACGUGCCAGCAGCCGCGGUAAUACGUAGGUGGCAAGCGUUGUCCGGAAUUAUUGGGCGUAAAGCGCGCGCAGGCGGCUUCUUAAGUCUGAUGUGAAAGCCCGCAGCUCAACUGCGGAGGGUCAUUGGAAACUGGGAAGCUUGAGUGCAGAAGAGGAGAGUGGAAUUCCACGUGUAGCGGUGAAAUGCGUAGAGAUGUGGAGGAACACCAGUGGCGAAGGCGGCUCUCUGGUCUGUAACUGACGCUGAGGCGCGAAAGCGUGGGGAGCAAACAGGAUUGGAUACCCUGGUAGUCCACGCCGUAAACGAUGAGUGCUAAGUGUUAGAGGGUUUCCGCCCUUUAGUGCUGCAGCUAACGCAUUAAGCACUCCGCCUGGGGAGUACGGCCGCAAGGCUGAAACUCAAAGGAAUUGACGGGGGCCCGCACAAGCGGUGGAGCAUGUGGUUUAAUUCGAAGCGACGCGAAGAACCUUACCAGGUCUUGACAUCCUCUGCUACUUCUAGAGAUAGAAGGUUCCCCUUCGGGGGACGGAGUGACAGGUGGUGCAUGGUUGUCGUCAGCUCGUGUCGUGAGAUGUUGGGUUAAGUCCCGCAACGAGCGCAACCCUUGACCUUAGUUGCCAGCAUUCAGUUGGGCACUCUAAGGUGACUGCCGGUGACAAACCGGA